UAUGACAGAGAUGAUUCGCUUGAUAAUAAAUACAACUGUUCUUAGAAGUUCCAGUAGUCAGUAAAGCUGUGUGUGUCAAACUGACUCUACUGUACUGCGGCAUCUCUAUCAAUCUGAAGGGAAAACAUCCUGAUAAAACGAGAACCUAUUCUUUGACAAAAACAUUACUAUACCAAUGGGACAAAAUGCAAAAAAAUGGGCACUCGAAAAAAUCCCUUCGAUGUCAUCCCUCGAAGUGGCAAGAGAGUUCCUGAAUGCCUCACUGAAUGACGAUCCCGACCCAUAUUCACUGGGUGCGAGCAAACUAGCUCUCAGUUUCCGGAAUUUCAAUCCAGAGGAAGCCAUGCGCCUACUUGUCAAAAUAGCGUGAGCUAGGAAAAUUUCCAUGAGGGAAUUUGUCCAAGAAAUAAAGGACUUUAUUUCUUUAGGAUUUCGUAUGGCUUCUGACCUAAGAUGCGAGUCAGAAUACACUAGUCUCGGGAACAGAUUCAAAGUGAUCUCUGAAAACCCGGAUGCUGAUUCUCUUCUCCUCAUGUGUUCACUGUUCCCACACUUUGCCGUCCAACAAGCACUGGAGAACUGGACAAUCAACCUCUGCAAGCAGCGUCCGAACACAAAGGAAGAGCCUAUCAUGGUUGGCAAAGUUACCAUUCCCCAUUAUUUCUGCCUCCUCGCCUUCGGGGGACUCAUACCAUCCGAGAAAGGGAUGGAAUUAAAUGAAGGGACGAGGAAAAUGAUAAUCGUUGUACAUUUGUGCGGUUUACAUUCUCUACACAUAAAACUGGGGUUCCAACGAGCCAUUUCUUGAUGCAAAAGCACAUUGCAUGUAGUCAGUUAUCAAACGAAGUGAGGUUGAGAGAGCUGAUUAAACUCGGUGUGCUUACACGGAGUAAAAUUCCGUCAACUUUGACGACUAGGAUCUAUGAGUCGAUUAGUGAUGGAUUUCGUUUGAAAGUAGAUAUAGAGCUCCAACGAUACUCCGCGGCAAAAUCGCGAAUUCACCAAUGAGAGAUUGGUAAAAUUGGUCCAAGAGCAUGAUUAUGUGGUCGGAGCAUGUUGAUCGAAUGGACUCUCAGGGAAAAGAUUACCAAGACGACCGUAAGAGAUGGGCACAAAGCUGCCUCUCCUGUCCUGAUGAUGAUUGAAUAUUUCAUUGCAGGUUAUUUUUUUCAUUGGUUUAACGAACAAUUAUCGAAUUUAUGUUUCCAUGAUAUAAAUGCUUUAAUGCAUUAGAAUGACAACUUAAAUAUUAUGAUUUAAUGCACCCGGUGCAAGAUGGCCUGGCAAAUGGGGCGAUGCCCUAGUCGUCCGUAGAAGAAGUAGAAGAAAAAGAAGAAGAGGAGGAAGGAAAGAACAUGAUUGUUUGGCGAGAUUUUAAGAGUCCCUCAGGUCCAAAAUUAGUAGAAAUGAGGAAGCUUGAGUGAUGCUCAGUAUAGUAUUUUUAUUGGUUUGAGAGUGAGCUUGUAAAAGUGUCAUGCAUUUUCCAUCUAUGGCUAAUGUUCUUUUUUCACGAUGUAAAGUCAUCCUCCCUAGGGAAAAAUGAAAAGUAAUUACACAGUUACCAGCUAUUAGUAUUAUAAUACUCGGAAAUUCUUUAGUAACGUCCUGAGAUACAGAAAUGCAUUGAUCGUUCGACUAUCGAAUCGUCCCUGAUAAUCCUGUUACCUAACCAUAAUGAUCAUCCGAGCAUAAAACGCCCGAUUUUUUAAAGCAGGCAAUUAGCACAACAUAGGAGCACGUAUAGUUGCUCUACUGAGUUCACGUUAUUUAACCGUUUCAAGUUCCAAGAAUAAAUGAGGAUUAUUGACGAAAUCUCAAA